rnacentral:other from 1 species
GCGGGGCUGCGAGGUGCGACGGAGUCACACUUCCGGGGCCUUACGAUCCUGAAGGGAGCUGUCCCUGACCGGGACCCUGGUUCCGGACAUAUGGCGCCCACCUACUUCUGUAGGUUCCCGGGAUCAGCACUCUGACGGCCAUUGCGGCUCCGCA